AGCAGACUUACUGGUGUUAUCAACAUAACUUGUCAAGACCAGAUCGUAUCAAACCAGUCUUUUUGUUUGUUUUUUCUAUGAUGAGGUAACAAAUCAUGUAGAUAGGCAAGAAUGCAGUAAGGUUUUUGACACUGCCUCAGACGGCAUUUUCAUUCGUAUCCAGGGACUUGUGGUCUGAAUCAUGGGCCUCUAACUUUGCUGGGUUCAACAAACAAUACUGAAAAAUUCUGCAUUUCUUUUCUUGUCAGCCUUGGUUUGAAGGUUUCAUGAACACACUGCUGCGUGAGUGCCAUGGCUAAGGGACCACUGAUUCUUGAUGAGACUGCUGCAAAAUGCCCACAGUGCUGCUUGGAAAACGACAGACAAGAAUGAGCUGUCAGAAAUUCAAUAUUACACAGAAAGCAUUUAUCAGGGAGUGUAGGAUCAGGAUUUCAUGGAUGGGACUGGUAUUCCAGGGACAUGAGUAUAGUCCUUACUGACUCUACUGUGAUCUUAGAUGGAAGCAGAGUGGCAGUCUGACAAAAUGUCAUCUGACAUGGAAAGAAAACAAAGCAAUGAGGUGGAAUGGAAUUCCUCCAUGCAGAUAAAAUGGCACCCACUGACAUUCAUUGAUGCAUGCUGAAAGUUUGUGGAGACCAAAAUGUGGAGAUGAGCACACUGAGGUGGUGGGUGAUGCAUUUCAACAGUGGCAAUAGUGAUGUGAAAGACAAACUACUUCCAAACGGCCAUGCACAGCUGUCACAGCAGCAUCUCUAUCAGCUCCUCACUCAUGCAUUCCUCCUCACUCGUUGUGUAUUAUCACAAAUUUGCACCAACUGUAUCCCACAAAUGCUCAGAAAGGAACAGAAAGAACAAGGCAAGUUUGUCAGAACCAAUUGAAUAAAUAUGAGGAUGAAGACUACAGUUUCCUGGAUUACAACAUUACUGCCAAUGGGAUGUUGUGUCACCACUACGAGCUGGAGUUAAAAUGGCAAUCCAUGGAGUAGUGACAUGUGAAUUCACUAUCAAAGAAAAAGUUCAAGACAUCCCUCAGCAGGUAAAGUGAUGUGCACUACCUUUUGGAAGAGGAAGGGG
ensembl:lncRNA